UGCUUAACACAUGCAAGUCGAACGGAAAGGCCCUGCUUUUGUGGGGUGCUCGAGUGGCGAACGGGUGAGUAACACGUGAGUAACCUGCCCUUGACUUUGGGAUAACUUCAGGAAACUGGGGCUAAUACCGGAUAGGAGCUCCUGCUGCAUGGUGGGGGUUGGAAAGUUUCGGCGGUUGGGGAUGGACUCGCGGCUUAUCAGCUUGUUGGUGGGGUAGUGGCUUACCAAGGCUUUGACGGGUAGCCGGCCUGAGAGGGUGACCGGCCACAUUGGGACUGAGAUACGGCCCAGACUCCUACGGGAGGCAGCAGUGGGGAAUAUUGCACAAUGGGCGGAAGCCUGAUGCAGCAACGCCGCGUGCGGGAUGACGGCCUUCGGGUUGUAAACCGCUUUCGCCUGUGACGAAGCGUGAGUGACGGUAAUGGGUAAAGAAGCACCGGCUAACUACGUGCCAGCAGCCGCGGUGAUACGUAGGGUGCGAGCGUUGUCCGGAUUUAUUGGGCGUAAAGGGCUCGUAGGUGGUUGAUCGCGUCGGAAGUGUAAUCUUGGGGCUUAACCCUGAGCGUGCUUUCGAUACGGGUUGACUUGAGGAAGGUGGGGGAGAAUGGAAUUCCUGGUGGAGCGGUGGAAUGCGCAGAUAUCAGGAGGAACACCAGUGGCGAAGGCGGUUCUCUGGGCCUUUCCUGACGCUGAGGAGCGAAAGCGUGGGGAGCGAACAGGCUUAGAUACCCUGGUAGUCCACGCUGUAAACGGUGGGUACUAGGUGUGGGGUCCAUUCCACGGGUUCCGUGCCGUAGCUAACGCUUUAAGUACCCCGCCUGGGGAGUACGGCCGCAAGGCUAAAACUCAAAGGAAUUGACGGGGCCCCGCACAAGCGGCGGAGCAUGCGGAUUAAUUCGAUGCAACGCGUAGAACCUUACCUGGGUUUGACAUGGAUCGGGAGUGCUCAGAGAUGGGUGUGCCUCUUUUGGGGUCGGUUCACAGGUGGUGCAUGGCUGUCGUCAGCUCGUGUCGUGAGAUGUUGGGUUAAGUCCCGCAACGAGCGCAACCCUUGUUCACUGUUGCCAGCACGUUAUGGUGGGGACUCAGUGGAGACCGCCGGGGUCAACUCGGAGGAAGGUGGGGAUGACGUCAAGUCAUCAUGCCCCUUAUGUCCAGGGCUUCACGCAUGCUACAAUGGCUGUACAGAGAGUGGCGAGCCUGUGAGGGUGAGCGAAUCUCGGAAAGCCGGUCUCAGUUCGGAUUGGGGUCUGCAACUCGACCUCAUGAAGUCGGAGUCGCUAGUAAUCGCAGAUCAGCAACGCUGCGGUGAAUACGUUCCCGGGGCUUGUACACACCGCCCGUCAAGUCAUGAAAGUUGGUAACACCCGAAGCCGGUGGCCUAACCGUUGUGGGGGAGCCGUCGAAGGUGGGACUGGUGAUUAGGACUAA
rnacentral:rRNA from 1 species